UCUAAAUUAUAAAAGUAGUCAUUUUAAGUGGUUAUUGUCUGUAGAAUCUCAUCUUCUUCAAAUUCAUCUUAAAGUGGUGAUCUGUAUACUCCAUGCACUCUAUGUGACUACAGCAGAAGUCAGCAGGCAUGUAGAGGUAAAGAAAAUGAGAAGAUAGAGAGGAAAUGAAAGAAAGAAGAGGAGGAAGAGGAGCAGCAGUGAUGUGAGGAAGUGUCAGUACUAUGCUUAGUAUUUUGCCUGAUUGGUCUACUUAACCCUCCCAACCUUACCUUAUCUAUCAAGUCCAUUUCAAGAGUGUGAAUACCAACAAAAUAAUGAUAUGGAUUGAGAGAUUCACUAAGACUUACACCAGACUUGAAUAUUAAUGGGAUAUGAUUUGAGUCCGGUCAGUUCAUUCACAUGAGUUUUGAUGAGUAGAACAGAAGAAAAGGAGAUUCUCUCAGAUUCUAGAAGAUGAUAGUGGCAAGUAAAGCU